CCUACGGGAGGCUGCAGUGAGGAAUAUUGGUCAAUGGCCGGAAGGCUGAACCAGCCAAGCCGCGUGAAGGACGAAGGUGCCAAGCAUUGUAAACUUCUUUUGUCAAGGGACAAAAUCAGGCUCGAGAGCCUGACCGAGGGAACUUGAAGAAAAAGCAUCGGCUAACUCCGUGCCAGCAGCCGCGGUAAUACGGAGGAUGCGAGCGAUAUUCGGAUUGAGUGGGUUAAAAGGGUGCGUAGGGGGACGGGUAAGUCAGCGGUAAAAGCCCGGAGCUCAACCCCGGCGAGCCGUUGAAACUGGCUGUCUUGAGAUGUCGAGAGGUAUGCGGAAUGCGCAGUGUAGCGGUGAAAUGCUUAGAGAUCAUACAGAACACCGAUGGCGAAGGCAGCUUACCAAUCUCUAUCUGACGUUGAGGCACGAAAGCGUGGGGAGCAAACAGGAUUAGAUACCCCAGUAGUC
rnacentral:rRNA from 1 species